rnacentral:rRNA from 1 species
UACGUAGGUGGCAAGCGUUGUCCGGAAUUACUGGGUGUAAGGCGCGUGUAGGCGGCAGACCAAGUCGGCGGUGAAAGCGCCCGGCUCAACUGGGCGAGGUCCGUGGAAACUGGUCAGCUGGAGGACGGUAGAGGCGAGUGGAAUUCCCGGUGUAGUGGUGAAAUGCGUAGAGAUCGGGAGGAACACCUGUGGCGAAGGCGGCUCGCUGGGCCGGUCCGUGACG